rnacentral:rRNA from 1 species
UUAAGUUAUUAAGGGCUUACGGUGGAUGCCUAGGUGCCAGAAGGCGAUGAAGGACGUAGUGAGCUGCGAUAAGCCUCGGGGAGCCGCAAACAGGCUUAGAUCCGGGGAUUUCCGAAUGGGGCAACCCGCUGCGAGUAAUGUCGCAGUAUCCAUGCCUGAACACAUAGGGCAUGGAGGCGAUACUCAGGGAACUGAAACAUCUUAGUACCUGGAGGAAAAGAAAGCAACCGCGAUUCCCUAAGUAGUGGCGAGCGAACGGGGAACAGCCCAAACCGUAGAAAUGCUAAAGCCUACCGGCGUUGUUUCUACGGGGUAGCGGGGCGUCUUCUUAGGCGUGCGGUAGACCGCCUGGCGAGUUACAAAUUCUUUUGAUAGGCGAAGUCACCUGGAAAGGUGCACCAUAGAAAGUAAUAGUCUUGUAGCCGAAAUUAAAAGAACUCGCUGAAGACGUUUCCAAGUAGCACGGGGCACGAGGAAUCCCGUGUGAAUCAGGGAGGACCCCCUCCUAAGGCUAAAUACUAGCUGGCAACCGAUAGCGGAGCAGUACCGUGAGGGAAAGGUGAAAAGUACCCCGGAAGGGGAGUGAAAUAGUACCUGAAACCGUAAGCCUACAAGCAGUGGAAGCACUAUUUGCAGCGGCCUAGCUGCUGCAAAGUGUGACCGCGUACUUUUUGUAGAACGGGCCGGCGAGUUACGGUCGGUAGCGAGGUUAAGGGACAAAGUCCUGGAGCCGUAGCGAAAGCGAGUCUGAACAGGGCGUUUAGUUACUGGUCGUAGACCCGAAACCGGGUGAUCUACCCAUGGCCAGGGUGAAGCUUGGGUAAAACCGAGUGGAGGCCCGCACCCACCGAUGUUAAAAAAUCGGGGGAUGAGCUGUGGGUAGUGGUGAAAUGCUAAUCGAACCCGGAAAUAGCUGGUUCUCCCCGAAAUAGUUUUAGGGCUAGCCUCAAGAGAUGAGAAAUGGGGGUAGAGCACUGAUUGGGAUAGGGGCCCUACAAGGUUACCGAACUCAGUCAAACUCCGAAUACCAUUUCUUCUACCUUGGGAGUCAGACUAUGGGAGAUAAGUUUCAUAGUCGAGAGGGAAACAGCCCAGACCAUCGGCUAAGGUCCCCAAGUAUAGACUAAGUGGAAAAGGAUGUAGGAACGCUCAGACAGCCAGGAUGUUGGCUUAGAAGCAGCCACCAUUUAAAGAGUGCGUAAUAGCUCACUGGUCAAGUAUUCCUGCGCCGAAAAUUUAACGGGGCUCAAGUCUAUCACCGAAGCCAUGGCAUCCGAUGUUAGUCGGAUGGGUAGGGGAGCGUUCCGGCAGCGUAGAAGCUGUACCGUGAGGAGCAGUGGAGCUUCCGGAAGUGAGAAUGCCGGCAUGAGUAACGAUAAGGAAGGUGAGAAUCCUUCCCGCCGGAAGCCUAAGGUUUCCUGAGGAAGGCUCGUCCUCUCAGGGUAAGUCGGGGCCUAAGCCGAGGCCGAAAGGCGUAGGCGAUGGACAACUGGUGGAAAUUCCAGUACCACCUUCAGCCGCCACGAGCGAUGGGGUGACGCAGGAGGGUAGGCGCAGCGCACCGUUGGUAGUGUGCGUCUAAACGUUUAGGGAGUGGAGGUAGGCAAAUCCGCCUCCACGCUAAUCCUGAAGCGUGAUGGGGAGCGAAAUUUUAAGUAGCGAACUGGCUGAUCCCAUACUGCCUAGAAAAACCUCUAGCCAGGCUGCAAGGUGCCCGUACCGCAAACCGACACAGGUAGGCGAGGAGAGGAUCCUGAGGCGCUCGGGAGAACCCUCGUUAAGGAACUCGGCAAAAUAACCCCGUAACUUCGGGAGAAGGGGUGCCCCGUGUAGGGUGACUUUAUGGAGCCCGAGGGGGCCGCAGUGAACAGGCCCAAGCGACUGUUUAUCAAAAACACAGGUCUCUGCUAAGUCGUAAGACGAUGUAUAGGGGCUGACGCCUGCCCGGUGCUGGAAGGUUAAGGGGAAGGGUUAGCAAGGUUCUUCGGAAUCUUGCGAAGCUCUGAACUUAAGCCCCAGUAAACGGCGGCCGUAACUAUAACGGUCCUAAGGUAGCGAAAUUCCUUGUCGGGUAAGUUCCGACCCGCACGAAAGGCGUAACGACUUGGGCGCUGUCUCAACGAGGGACCC